rnacentral:rRNA from 1 species
AUUGAACGCUGGCGGCAGGCCUAACACAUGCAAGUCGAGCGAGCGGCGGACGGGUGAGUAAUGCUUGGGAAUCUAGCUUAUGGAGGGGGAUAACUACGGGAAACUGUAGCUAAUACCGCGUACCAUAGGAUGAGCCCAAGUGGGAUUAGGUAGGUGGUGAGGUAAAGGCUCACCAAGCAGACGAUCUCUAGCUGGUCUGAGAGGAUGACCAGCCACACUGGGACUGAGACACGGCCCAGACUCCUACGGGAGGCAGCAGUGGGGAAUCUUCCGCAAUGGACGAAAGUUGACGGAGCAACGCCGCGUGAGUGAGGACGGCCUUCGGGUUGUAAAGCUCUGUUAAUCGGGAGACGGUACCGGAAUAGAAAGCCACGGCUAACUACGGGCCAGCAGCCGCGGUAAUAC